rfam:Aedes albopictus isolate Foshan contig56742, whole genome shotgun sequence.
UAGCCUAGUGGUUAAGGCUAUGGAUCGCCAAUCCGGAAACGGUGGGUUCGAUUCCCGU